GUUGAGAUCCUGCUUUCUCUUCAGAAUGCCAUCUCUAGGAUGCCAAUGGGCUGUGUCUACAGUACUAUGUAGGAAAGUGCUGCAAGAGUUCUUUCUGUCACCUCUCUGAAGACCUGGUUCAUAUCUGCAGCUGCAACUCUAUCCCUGAACUCAUCUUUGAAACUACCCAGAGAUAGACUGUCAAGAGCUUCAGAGCUUUACAACAGGAUCUUCCAAGUGCCCUGAGAGGUCCGCGUCACCUUUAGGAGCUGUAACACUCACCGCGAAGGUCUGCAGCUUCACUCCUGAAGCCAGCGAGACCACGAACGCACCGGGAGGGAUGAACAACUCCGGACGGGAGGAACGAACAACUCCAGACGCGCCAUCUUAAGAGCUGUAACGCUCACUGCGAAGGUCUGCAGCUUCACUCCUGAAGCCAGCAAGACCACGAACCCACCAGAAGGAAGAAACUCUGAACACAUCUGAACAUCAGAAGGAACAAACUCCAGACACGCCACCUUUAAGAACUGUAACACUCACCGCGAGGGUCCGCAGCUUCGUUCUUGAAAUCAGUGAGAUGAAGAACCCACCAAUUCCAGACACAGUAACACCAGUUAUCACUGAUUGCAGUUCAUCAUAACAGAUAUAAUAAUAAUUUAAAAGUUUGAAAUAUUAUGAAAAUUACCAAAAUGUAACACAGACACAUGAAGCAUUGGAAAAAUGGCACCAAUAGUGUUGUUUGAUGUAGCAUUACCAUAAAUCUUAGAUUUGUAAAUAACAAAGUAUUUGUGAAGCACAGUAAAGCAAAGCACAAUAAAAAUGACGUGUGCUUGUAUUUUAAAAGAACAGAUUGAAUUGGGAAGGGUAGUUGAGGAACUGGAAGCAGAGAGAACAGGUACAAGAUUCACGUAGUAGUCCAAGAAAAUUAAAGCAAGUAGAAAAACUAACAGAAGUUCAGGAUAAAAGAUUUUGAGGCCUUAACUACACAUUUCCAGAAGGAAUGGAAAAAGGUCAGAAAUGAGAAUGUGGAAAUAUCCUCAGCUGAUUUGACUGUAAGUAGAAAGUGUUGGCAUAAAAAAAAUGGACGAAGCCAAAAAACUCAUGGAAUGAUGAAUAAUUAAAUAAAUUGAGGUCUCCUUAUCAAAAACAAAAAUGAAGACAUGUAGAUAGAAAUUUAUAUGUCUUUACUCUGUAAAGCUGGGAGAAUACCCAGAAGGUAUUUAGGAAGUAUGUGAUAAAAAUUUAAGAUUGGAGUUAAUGAACCAGAGAUAGGCAUGAGACACAUAAUAGGUAAUAAUACAGGUUAGCUGGUAAGAUCUUUGGAGCACAGCAAGCUUGGAUUUGAGUUAGUAAUAAUAAUUAUGCACUGCACAUUUUAGCCUUUAUAAUUUUUCACUGGUUCUUCCACUUAAUAGGCAUCUUUUAACAUCUAUUAAGUGUAGGAAAAUACUAAGAGCUGGAGAUACAGCAGUAAUAAAUAAAGUUUAUUUAAGUAAGUGUAAAGUUAAUAAAACACAGUCCCUAAUCUCAUUACUCUUACACUGAGAGAUUUUCACAUUCAAAAUUUACUGAGCACCUAUUGGGUACAGAGGACUUGGAUGGGCAAAUGAAUACAAUAUGUCUCUUGCUGUGUUGUUGGAACAAGUGGAAUGCUGGGGACAUCCAAAGAAAGGAGACCACAUGGAGGAGGUGAUAUUGGAUCUUGAGGGAUGAUUAAGAGUCAUCAAACAAACGACAUUUAUAUAUAUAUUAUAAUAUCAUCUCCUGUAAUCUCGCUCACACCCUGUGAGGACCAAGUAAAUAUAUUAAAGAUGUAUUUCUUAUAGAAUAUUCUGAGCAAGAUGAGAGAAAGGAUAGUAUGAUAGCCCUGUCAGUCCUUGUAUUCCUCUCCCUAAUUUCACUGUUUUGUUGAAAGUGUUUGUUUGGUUUUUUUAAUAGUUUUUAUUUUGUAUUUAGCUCUAGACAAAAGAACAGUACUAUUCCUUGAAAACAUUUAUUCUUUAGGGAUAUGAAGUGGUAUGUUUGCCCAACAAAAUACACAAUUUCUAAAAUAUUAUGACUAAUUCAAGCAAAUGUAUUCUCUAAAGAAAAAUUUCC
rnacentral:lncRNA from 1 species